AGAUUUUCUAGCAGUGAAUCUGAAUAUGUUUAAUCUUGAAGCAUUUUCAACUGGUCCUCAUCAGUUGUAUUUGAAUUUCAUACCCUUUAAAGCAACUCCUAAUAUGACCCCCCAGGAUCUGGUCUUGAUCAACUUUUCUAGCUUUAUUUUCUGACCCAUUCUCUCCUAAAUAAUCCACUGAAAAAUUUUCUCUACUUUGACAUACUCUUUUAAGCUUCUUCACCUCUACAUAUUCUAUUUCUUCUACUCAAGAAUCACUUUUUCCUGCCAUACUUGUCCUUGAUGAACGAAUAUUUAAUUUUCAUUUGAAAAAGUAACCUUCUCUGAGACAUUUUACAGCUCUUCAAGGGAAGGUUGGUUUUAUCUCCCUCUGAGUUUUCUCAUACUUUGGGCUAGUUUCCCAGUAGGACGGAAAUGUUCCCUGCAGGGCUGGGAGCUUGCCCUCCAGAAUUACCUCUAAGUGAAACCCCCACCUCCCUUUCAUUUUCAAAGGACUGCUGAAGUUACAUACAAUGGCAACAAAGCAACAUGUAGCAGAAGUCAUUUUCUUGUCGCUUUUUUCAGAAUGAGGAAUAUCUCAUGUAUAUAUUUGUUGUUUGAUUUUCUUGUUUUUCAGAAGCUCUUCAACACAGCUACCUUUUAUGUUAUAUGUUCACCCUGAAACCAAUUACUGUACUACUUCCUGUCACCAUGUGAAGAAGGAUGUGUUUGCUUCACCUUCUGCCAUAAUUGUAAUUUUCCUGAGGCCUCCCCAACCUUGCAGAACUGUGAGUCAAUUAAACCUCCUUCCUUUACAAAUUACUCAGUCUCGUAUGUGUCUUUAUCAUCAAUGUGAAAAUGGGCUAAUACACUUACUAAAAGGACUGGACUAAAAUGUGAAGCCCCAUUUUUGACCUUUGCCCAUGAAUGUUACCAUCCUCUACCCAGAGAUAGAGAGAACAGACAGAAACUACCAGGGAGCACUUUGAGACAGGGUACUCAAGAAGGAAAAAACAAGAAAGUGUGACUCUUUGCUGUGGAAGAAAGGAAAUGAAGUUUUGUUGAUUUAUAUGGUUUGGAUUUGUGUCCCCACCCAAAUUUCACAUUCAAAUGUAAUCCAUAGUGUUGGAGGCUGAACCUGGUAGGAGGUGAUUAAAUCAAGUGGGUGAUUUUUCACGGAUGGUUUAGUGCCAUCCUUUUUGUGCUAUGCUCAUGACAGCAAAUUAGUUCUCAUGAAGUAGGUUACUAAUCCCAGCAACUCGGAAGGCUGAGGCAGGAGAAUCAAUUGAACCCAGGAGGUGGAGGUUGCAGUGAGCCAAGAUCGCACCACUGAGCUCCAGGCUAGGCAACAAAGUGAGACUGUGUCUCAAAAAAAAAAAAAAAAAAAAAAUGUAGCACCCCUGACAACUCUUUUCUUGCUCCUGCUCUUAUCAUGUGAGAUACUUCCCUCCCCCUUUGCCUUCCACUAUGAUUGUAAGUUUCCUGAGACCUUCUUAGAAGUCCAGUAGAUGCCAGUAUCAUGCUUUCUGUACACCUUGUGAAACUGUUAGUCGAUUAACCCUUUUUACUUUAUAAACUAACAAGUCUCAGGUAUUUCUUUUUAGUAAUGUGAGAACAAACUAAAACACUGACCCAAGAGAUUUGAAGUGUGGCAACGAGUUCCAGAUCAAACCUGAUAUUGAAGAGUUGGGAAUAAGUAUAUACAUACUUUGGAACAGUGCUUCUUCACCUAAGCACCACUGAUAUUUGAAGCUGAAUGAUUAUUGUGAUAGAAAGGUUGUCCUGAACAUUGUGAGAUAUUUAGUACACUGCUGGCUUCUAACACCAGAUACAAGUGGCAUCCCCUUCCCUCCAUUAUGACAAGCAAAAUUUCUCCAUAUAUUUCCAAAUGUACCCUGGGAAACAACUUCUUCCAUUUGAGAUUACAGAACACCCUACUGGGACAAUACUAAAAAAAAUAGGUGUGUUGCAAUGGAUAUUGCAGGUAUAAACUAGCAAGAAUUCCAACUUUGUUCCACCUUUGUUAUAAUUUAUUUCUGAAUUUGGUGUUAAAUUGUUAGGAAAUGACUUAAUGUGUCAUUUCAUGGUAUUGUUCUGAUGGAAGUUAUUGAGAUGAGUUAUUUAGAGCAGACCGCAGGGUUGCUGACUCUAUUUUCUUCUGGUCAUCUAAUACUGAAAGGAGU
ensembl:lncRNA